rnacentral:piRNA from 1 species
UGGUACCGAGUCUCAUUUGCUAUGCCU